rnacentral:rRNA from 1 species
UACGUAGGUGGCAAGCGUUGUCCGGAUUUAUUGGGUUUAAAGGGUGCGUAGGCGGCCCUGUAAGUCAGUGGUGAAAUACUCCAGCUUAACUGGAGGGGUGCCAUUGAUACUGCAGGGCUUGAGUGGAGUCGAGGUAGGCGGAAUUGACGGUGUAGCGGUGAAAUGCUUAGAUACCGUCAAGAACACCGAUAGUGUAGACAGCUUACUAGGCUUCAACUGACGCUGAGGCACGAAAGUGUGGGGAUCAAACAGG